GAUCCUGGCUCAGGAUGAACGCUAGCUACAGGCUUAACACAUGCAAGUCGAGGGGGCAGCAUGAACUUAGCUUGCUAAGUUUGAUGGCGACCGGCGCAUGGGUGAGUAACACGUAUCCAACCUUCCGUUUACUCAGGGGAUAGCCUUUCGAAAGAAAGAUUAAUACCUGAUAGUAUGGUGAGAUUGCAUGAUAGCACCAUUAAAGAUUUAUUGGUAAACGAUGGGGAUGCGUUCCA
rnacentral:rRNA from 1 species